UCCAAUCUCAUGUAAUGUCCUU
rnacentral:misc_RNA from 1 species